rnacentral:rRNA from 1 species
GACGAACGCUGGCGGCGUGCUUAACACAUGCAAGUCGAACGGUGAAGCGCCUUCCUUUUUGGUGGGUGUGGAUGAGUGGCGAACGGGUGAGUAACACGUGAGUAACCUGCCCCCUUCUUCUGGAUAACCGCAUGAAAGUGUGGCUAAUACGGGAUAUUCUGGGUCUGUCGCAUGAUGGGUCUGGGAAAGAUAUUGUUUCGGUGGGGGAUGGGCUCGCGGCCUAUCAGCUUGUUGGUGGGGGGAUGGCCUACCAAGGCGGUGACGGGUGGCCGGCCUGAGAGGGUGUACGGUCACACUGGGACUGCGACACGGCCCAGACUCCUACGGGAGGCAGCGGUGGGGAAUAUUGCACAAUGGGCGCAAGCCUGAUGCAGCGCCGCCGCGUGAGGGAUGGAGGCCUGCGGGUUGUGAACCUCUUUCGCCAGUGAAGCAGGCCUGCCUCGUUUGUGGGUGGGUUGACGGUAGCUGGAUAAGAAGCGCCGGCUAACUACGUG